GUCCACGCCGUAAACGUUGGGCACUAGGUGUGGGUCUCAACCAACGAGAUCCGCGCCGUCGCUAACGCAUUAAGUGCCCCGCCUGGGGAGUACGGCCGCAAGGUUAAAACUCAAAGGAAUUGACGGGGGCCCGCACAAGCAGCGGAGCGUGUUGCUUAAUUCGAUGCAACGCGAAGAACCUUACCUGGGCUUGACAUGUACGGAAAAGCCGUAGAGAUACGGUGUCCUUCGGGUCGUACACAGGUGGUGCAUGGCUGUCGU
rnacentral:rRNA from 1 species